rnacentral:rRNA from 1 species
UACGUAGGGUGCGAGCGUUGCCCGGAGUUACUGGGCGUAAAGCGCGCGCAGGCGGCGGCGCAAGCCUGGCGUGAAAGCCCCCCGGCUCAACCGGGGAGGGUCGUCGGGGACUGCGUCGCUUGAGGACGGCAGGGGCCGGUGGAAUGCCCGGUGUAGUGGUGAAAUGCGUAGAGAUCGGGCAGAACACCCGUGGCGAAGGCGGCCGGCUGGGCCGAUCCUGACGCUGGAGGCGCGAAGGCGUGGGGAGCGAACGGGG